rnacentral:rRNA from 1 species
AGAGUUUGAUUCUGGCUCAGAACGAACGCUGGCAGCGUGGAUUAGGCAUGCAAGUCGAACGGGAAGCCGAUGAUCAAUCUUCGGAGAGUGAUUCGGUGGAGAGUGGCGAAAGGGUGAGUAACGCGUGGGCAAUCUGCCCUCAAGCUCGGAAUAACACACCGAAAGGGGUGCUAAUACCGGAUGUGGUUACCUGCUGAUGGCAGGUUAAUUAAAGGUGGGGAUCCUUCGGGACCUGCCGCUUGUGGAUGAGCCCGCGUCCCAUCAGCUUGUUGGUAGGGUAACGGCCUACCAAGGCUUACGGGUAGGUGGUCUGAGAGGAUGGUCACCCACACUGGGACUGAGACACUGCCCAGACUCCUACGGGAGGCUGCAGUCGAGGAUCAUUCGCAAUGCGCGAAAGCGUGACGAUGCGACGCUGCGUGGAGGAUGACGGCCUUCGGGUUGUAAACUCCUGUCAUUCGGGAAAAAUUGUCCCGUGACGAAUAAUCACGGGAUUUGAUGGUACCGAAAGAGGAAGCCACGGCUAACUCUGUGCCAGCAGCCGCGGUAAUACAGAGGUGGCGAGCGUUGUUCGGAUUUACUGGGCGUAAAGAGUGCGUAGGCGGUACUGUAUGUCGGUUGUGAAAGCCCAUGGCUCAACUAUGGAAUUGCGACCGAAACUGCAGAACUUGAGUACAGGAGGGGAGGGCGGAAUUCUUGGUGUAGCGGUGAAAUGCGUUGAUAUCAAGAAGAACACCGGUGGCGAAGGCGGCUCUCUGGAAUGUUACUGACGCUGAGGCACGAAAGCUGGGGGAGCAAACAGGAUUAGAUACCCUGGUAGUCCCAGCCGUAAACGGCGUGGACUUGGUGUUGGAGGUAUUGACCCCUCCAGUGCCGGAGCUAACGCGUUAAGUCCACCGCCUGGGGAGUACGGCCGCAAGGUUAAAACUCAAAGAAAUUGACGGGGGCCCACACAAGCGGAGGAGCAUGUGGCUUAAUUCGAUGCAACGCGAAGAACCUUACCAGGGCUUGACAUGGUACUGCACACUCCCUGAAAGGGGAGGAGCCUUCGAGGGUGUACCACAGGUGCUGCAUGGCUGUCGUCAGUUCGUGCCGUGAGGUGUUGGGUUAAGUCCCGCAACGAACGCAACCCUUGUGUUUAGUUGCCACUCAGUCUUUGACUGAAGCACUCUAGACAGACUGCCCGUACAAGCGGGAGGAAGGUGGGGAUGACGUCAAGUCAGUAUGGCCCUUACGUCCUGGGCUGCACACGUGCUACAAUGGUCGGUACAGUGGGCUGCAAUACCGCGAGGUGGAGCUAAUCCCCAAAACCGGCCCCAGUUCGGAUAGGAGUCUGCAACUCGACUCCUUGAAGUCGGAUUCGCUAGUAACGGCGUAUCAGCUACGACGCCGUGAAUACGUUCCCGGGCCUUGUACACACCGCCCGUCACAUCAUGAAAGCCGUCUGCACCCGAAGUCACUAAGCCAACCCGCAAGGGAGGCAGGUGCCGAAGGUGUGGGUGGUGAUUGGGAUGAAGUCGUAACAAGGUA